rnacentral:rRNA from 1 species
AACGAACGCUGGCGGCAUGCCUAACACAUGCAAGUCGAGCGCGCCCUUCGGGGUGAGUGGCGGACGGGUGCGUAACGCGUGGGAACGUGCCCUUUUCUACGGAAUAGCCCCGGGAAAGGGAUGGUAAUACCGGAUACUGUCUUCGGGGCAAAGAUUUAUCGGAAAUGGAUCGGCCCGCGUUGGAUUAGGUAGUUGGUAGGGUAAAGGCCUACCAAGGCGACGAUCCAUAGCUGGUUUGAGAGGAUGAUCAGCCACACUGGGACUGAGACACGGCCCAGACUCCUACGGGAGGCAGCAGUGGGGAAUCUUAGACAAUGGGGGCAACCCUGAUCCAGCCAUGCCGCGUGAGUGAUGAAGGCCUUAGGGUUGUAAAGCUCUUUCAGCUGGGAAGAUAAUGACGGUACCAGCAGAAGAAGCCCCGGCUAACUCCGUG